rnacentral:rRNA from 1 species
UACGGGGGGGGCAAGCGUUGUUCGGAAUUACUGGGCGUAAAGGGCGCGUAGGCGGCCUGUUAAGUCACACGUGAAAUCCCUCGGCUCAACCGGGGAACUGCGUGUGAUACUGGCGGGCUUGAAUUCGGGAGAGGGAUGUGGAAUUCCAGGUGUAGCGGUGAAAUUCGUAGAUAUUCGGAAGAACACCAGUGGCGAAGGCGGCUCACUGGUCCGGUACUGACGCUGAGGUGCGAAAGCGUGGGGAGCGAACAGG